GAGUUUGAUCUUGGCUCAGAUUGAACGCUGGCGGCAGGCCUAACACAUGCAAGUCGAGCGGAUGACGGGAGCUUGCUCCUUGAUUCAGCGGCGGACGGGUGAGUAAUGCCUAGGAAUCUGCCUGGUAGUGGGGGACAACGUUUCGAAAGGAACGCUAAUACCGCAUACGUCCUACGGGAGAAAGCAGGGGACCUUCGGGCCUUGCGCUAUCAGAUGAGCCUAGGUCGGAUUAGCUAGUUGGUGGGGUAAUGGCUCACCAAGGCGACGAUCCGUAACUGGUCUGAGAGGAUGAUCAGUCACACUGGAACUGAGACACGGUCCAGACUCCUACGGGAGGCAGCAGUGGGGAAUAUUGGACAAUGGGCGAAAGCCUGAUCCAGCCAUGCCGCGUGUGUGAAGAAGGUCUUCGGAUUGUAAAGCACUUUAAGUUGGGAGGAAGGCAGUAAGCGAAUACUUGCUGUUUGACGUUACCGACAGAAUAAGCACCGGCUAACUCUGUGCCAG
rnacentral:rRNA from 1 species